rnacentral:rRNA from 1 species
AUGGCGAUCUUAUUGGGCUAAAGCGUCGUAGCUGGCUGCGCAAGUCCGUCGGGAAAUCCACUCGCCCAACGAGUGGGCGUCCGACGGAAACUGCACAGCUUGGGACCGGAAGGCUCGAAGGGUACGUUCGGGGUAGGAGUGAAAUCCCAUAAUCCCGCACGGACCACCGAUGGCGAAAGCACUUCGGGAAAACGGAUCCGACAGUGAGGGACGAAAGCCAGGGUCUCCAAC